CCUACGGGCGGCAGCAGUAGGGAAUUUUCGUCAAUGGGCGCAAGCCUGAACGAGCGAUGCCGCGUGAGUGAAGAAGGCCUUCGGGUCGUAAAGCUCUGUUGCGGGGGAAAAAAGGCAGCAUCAGGAAAUGGGUGCUGACUGAUGGUGCCCCGCCAGAAAGUCACGGCUAACUACGUGCAAGCAGCCGCGGUAAAACGGAGGUGGCGAGAGUAAUCCGGAAUGAUUGGGCGAAAAGGUUGAGCAGGCGGUCCGGCAAGUCUGGAGUGAAACGAAUGGGCUCAACUCAUGAAUGGCUUUGGAAGCUGGAGGACUGGAGAGCAGGAGAGGGCGGUGGAAUUCCAGGUGUAGGAGUGAAAUCCGUAGAUAUCUGGAGGAACAUCAGUGGCGAAGGCGACUAUCUGGCACAUAACUGACGCUGAGGAGCGAAAGCGUGGGUAGCAAACAGGAUUAGAUACCCCGGUAGUC
rnacentral:rRNA from 1 species